CAUCAAAACAAGUGUUAUUAGAUGACUGAAGACUAUCGAGAAAUUAAGCUUUAUAGUAGUAAAGAAGAAAGAGAAAUGUACGAUAACAUGGCUGACCUGUUUUCAAUUGUUCAAACUCUGGAUCUUUUGGAAAAGGCAUACGUAAAAGACUCUGUAACGGCAGAGGAGUAUACUCCAGCCUGUGAAAGGUUAAUUGCUCAGUAUAAAACUUGCAAGAAUUUACUUUUGCAUGAAGUUACGGAUCUUGAAAGCUUUAUGAAGAAAUACUCGCUUUUUCUUGUCCAGCUGCCUAUAAUCGUUUAAAAAUUGGUGUGCCUGCGACCAUCGAACACGGAGGUCUAACAGAGGUUGAAGGUAAGAAAGUUUCUCAAUACGUGGCUGAAGUUGUUCAGUACUUUAUCACUUUAAUGGAUUCCGUGAAAUUGAACAUGGUGGCCAUAGAUGAAAUUCAUCCACAAUUAAACGAUCUUUUACAAAGCAUGAAUAAAAUAAAAUCUUUACAGGAGGAUUCCGAAAAUUUUGAUUUUAAAAGCAAAAUUAGACAGUGGCUUGAAAUCACCAAUACCAUGAAGGCAAGUGACGAAUUAAACGAAGAACAAAAAAGACAGUUAUUGUUUGAUUUAGAGCAGGCGCAUAAUGCCUUUUACCGUGCUUUAGCUAAAUAAAAAUAACUAUAAUCUUUU